AAGACUAUAGACCUGCGGAGUACCUGCGGAAGGAUCAUUACCGAGUUUACAACUCCCAAACCCAUGUGAACAUACCUAUCGUUGCUUCGGCGGGAUCGCCCCGGGCGCCUUGUGUGCCCCGGAUCCAGGCACCCGCCGGGGGACCUUAACUCUUGUUUUAUUUAGAAUCUUCUGAGUAGUUUUUACAAAUAAAUAAAAACUUUUAACAACGGAUCUCU
rnacentral:misc_RNA from 1 species